rnacentral:rRNA from 1 species
UACAGAGGUGGCAAGCGUUGUUCGGAAUUACUGGGCGUAAAGGGCGCGUAGGCGGCCAUCUAAGUCAGACGUGAAAUCCCCCGGCUUAACCUGGGAACUGCGUCUGAUACUGGAAGGCUUGAGUAUGGGAGAGGGAUGUAGAAUUCCAGGUGUAGCGGUGAAAUGCGUAGAUAUCUGGAGGAAUACCGGUGGCGAAGGCGGCAUCCUGGACCGACAUUGACGCUGAGGAGCGAAAGCUAGGGGAGCAAACGGG